AGAUUGAGUUGAAACCUUUCUCUUUAAUGAUCGUUCCCCUCUCAGCACAUUCAUGCUCCCAAGUUUCUUUGUUUAUGGGCAUUCUUCUUGGCCUUGCACUCAGAUUCUGAGUUGGGCAAAGUUCCCAAAGCUAUGGAAAAUGAAGGAGAGCCUUUCACUUCCAAUAACAAAGCAAAUUUAUGGUACUUCAUCGAUGAAGGGAUUGAAUUGAAAAGCUUUAGACUAUGCCUCAAAUGGGUAUUCCAAGAUCAAUCUAAUAUUUGGACCACUGCUCUCUCGUGGUCCAUCUUCUUGCUCCUGGCAAUUGGCGUUCCUAUCGUGUCUCACUUCGCUUUUUUGUGCUCAAAUUGCGAUUCAAACCACCAAUGACCUUACGAUGCAGUGGUGCAGUUAUCUCUUUCGGUAUUUGCUAUAAUUUCAUUUUUGAGUCUAUCUUCUUGGUCUCGCAAGUAUGGUGUAAGAAGAUUCCUCUUCUUGGACAAAUUAGAUGAUCAAAGUGAGAGAAUUCGGAGAGAAUAUAAACAACAGCUCCAGAGAUCAAUGAAGCUGCUCUGCAAUUUUGUCCUCCCCUGCUUUGCUGCAGAGAGUGCCUACCGAAUAUGGUGGUAUGUCACAGGAAACACCCAAAUACCCUACUAUGGAAAAAUGUAUGCCAGGGACACAAUUCUGUGCAUGUUGCAGCUAUGCUCUUGGGUGUAUCGAAUAUCAAUUUACAUCCUUGUCUGCAUUCUCUACCAACUGAUUUGCUAUUUGCAAGUACUUAGUCUUGAGGAGUUUGCUCUAGUCUUUCAAAAGGAAAGUGAUGUGGGUUCAAUCUUGAGGGAGCACCUCCGAAUCAGAAGAAAUCUUCGCAUCAUAAGCCAUAGGUUUCGAAGGUUCAUCUUGCUGUCUCUGGUUUUGGUCACUGCAAGUCAGUUAAUUUCAUUGCUGGUGACCACCCGUUCCAGUGCUCAUAACAACAUAUUCGAGGCUGGAGAACUCGCGUUGUGCUCCAUAAAUUUGGUGACGGGCCUCUUCAUAUGCUUGCGAAGCGCUACAAAAAUCACCCACAGAGCACAGUCCGUGACAAGCCUUGCUACAAAGUGGCAUGUAUGUGCCACAAUAAACUCUUAUGAUGACAUGGACGGUGAGACCCUAGGGGAUCAGACUAGUGCUUGCAGCCACCAUGUAUUUCCUGUGGACAUUUAUUGGGUUUUGGAUGAUGAUGAUGACAAUGGAGAUGAAGAUAUUGAUAAUAGCACCAAAAUGGUACCAAUUUUUGCGUAUACAAUCUCAUUCCAGAGGAGACAGGCCUUAGUGACAUAUCUGGAAAACAAUAGGGCAGGCAUGACAGUUUACGAGUUCAUGAUGGACAGAACAUGGCUCCAUACCAUAUUUGGGAUUGAACUAGCUCUACUACUUUGGUUGCUCAACAAGACAAUAGUGAAUUGGACAUGAAAGCGGCAAGACUCCAGUGAUGCAAGGAACUAUAAAUUUGGCAGUACUGCGAGUUCAUUUGGCCAAGUGUUAUCGGCUUGAGACUAUGACAUUGUGUGUAUGUAAUAAAAUGAGUUCAUUUGGUUAUCAUUUUUGUUAAUAUGCGAACCGUUAAAUCUAUAUACAGUUUGUGAAUCAUUGACAAGUUUUUGUGAAAUUAAACAAAAAGGCCAUUGGAUUUAUAACUA